rnacentral:rRNA from 1 species
AGAGUUUGAUCAUGGCUCAGAACGAACGCUGGCGGCGUGGAUAAGACAUGCAAGUCGAACGAGAUUUUUUCCUGUAGCAAUACAGGGAAAAGUCUAGUGGCGAACGGGUGCGUAACACGUGGGCAAUCUGCCUUAAAGUGGGGGAUAGCUCGGCGAAAGCCGAAUUAAUACCGCAUGUGAUCAGAGGGGACAUCCCUUCGAAAUCAAAGUCGGGGCAACCUGACGCUUUUUGAGGAGCCCGCGGCCUAUCAGCUAGUUGGUGAGGUAAUGGCUCACCAAGGCUCUGACGGGUAGCUGGUCUGAGAGGACGACCAGUCACACUGGAACUGAGACACGGUCCAGACACCUACGGGUGGCAGCAGUCGAGAAUUUUUCUCAAUGGGGGAAACCCUGAAGGAGCGACGCCGCGUGGAGGAUGAAGGUCUUCGGGUUGUAAACUCCUGUCAUUUGGGAACAAGUUGGACGCCGUAACUGCGCGUCCAUUGAUAGUACCAGAAGAGGAAGGGACGGCUAACUCUGUGCCAGCAGCCGCGGUAAUACAGAGGUCUCAAGCGUUGUUCGGAUUCAUUGGGCGUAAAGGGUGUGUAGGUGGCGCGCUAAGUCGGGUGUGAAAUUUCGGAGCUUAACUCCGAAACUGCAUUCGAUACUGGCGUGCUUGAGGACUGGAGAGGAGACUGGAAUUCAUGGUGUAGCAGUGAAAUGCGUAGAGAUCAUGAGGAAGACCAGUGGCGAAGGCGGGUCUCUGGACAGUUCCUGACACUGAGACACGAAGGCCAGGGGAGCAAACGGGAUUAGAUACCCUAGUAGUCC